UUUAUGGAGAGUUUGAUCCUGGCUCAGGACGAACGCUGGCGGCGUGCUUAACACAUGCAAGUCGAACGAUGAAGCGGUGCUUGCACCGUGGAUUAGUGGCGAACGGGUGAGU
rnacentral:rRNA from 1 species